rnacentral:lncRNA from 1 species
GUUUGUUUCUUCCUGUUGACUUUAUAAAACAAGAGGAUAAAUAGGGGUCAAGUCAAAGGAAUCUAUUUUUUUCUUUUUUCUUUUUUUUUUUUUUUGAGACAGAGUCUUGCUCUGUCCCCCAGGCUGGAGUGCAGUGGCGUGAUCUUGGCUCACUGCAACCUACGCCUCCCAGGUUCAAGCGAAUUCUCUGCCUCAGCCUCCUGCAUAGCUGGGACUACAGGCACGUGCCACCACGCCUAGCUAAUUUUUUGUAUUUUAGCAGAGACGGGGUUUCACCAUGUUGGUCAGGAUGGUCUCUAUCUCCUGGCCUCAUGAUCUGCCCACCUUGGCCUCUCAAAGUGCUGGGAUUACAGGCGUGAGCCACUGUGCCCGGCCAAGUCAAAGGAAUCUAAAAGCAAGGGUAGAGAAAACCUACUCCUGUCAUAGGGCAGACUUUUGCUGGAGAAUGUGUCUGUCAUGUCUAUUGUUUUUUGUUUUUUUUGUUUGUUUGUUUGUUUUUUGAGGUGGAGUCUCCGUCAACCAGACUGGAGUGCAGUGGUGCAAUCUCGGCUCACUACAACCUCCACCUCCCGGGUUCAAGAAGUUCUCUUGCCUCAGCCUCCCAAGUAGCUGGGAUUACAGGCAUGUGCCACGACGCCUGGCUAAUUUUGGCAUUUUUAGUAGAGAUGGGAUUUCGCCAUAUUGACGAGGCUGGUCAUGAACUCCUGACCUCAGGUGAUCCACUCGCCUAGGCCUCCCAAGUGCUGGGAUUAUAGGCCACCACGCCCGGCCUGUCAUGUUUAUUUCAAUCAGCAGUUGCAAAAUUAUUAACCCACGGAGGAAAUAAUUGCUACUGAGGAAAAGGCUCUCUAUGCACAGUGAAGAACCUGACACAACCCAGCUUAUGUGCCCUCCUGAAUCAGGCCUCGUUUGGUAAGAGACUUCUUUCCCAAGCCCUUGAGGAAACAGCCGCUAACCUCUGUAAUGUAUGUGGCCACGUUUCCAUAACUGAACUCAAUUGAUAAAACAGCAAAGCACCACUUCUACCUCAGAAAAAGAAAGACAAUCUUAACCUGGCAUUAGAUGGGACCCCUCAUCUGUCCUGCCACUAGGAAGCCACUGUAAUUCAUCCUCUGGAGGAGCUGGGUGGACGGGGCGGUGGUGGGACAUCGGGAUGCUGCCCGUGCAUGGCCCCACCCCAGCUGGACAUGAGAGUUGCAAAAACAAGGUGCUAGACGCAAGCUAUAACCGACCAUGCCGAGUUCACGUUUGUCCCGUCCCUAGGUUGUGUAUGUGCCAGGAUUUGAGCACUUCUAGGGCAUAUGCUGACAACGUUAUCGAAUACCACAAACCAUCGCCUCAGUUCCUAGUUUUGGGUCAGAUACUGAGAAUCAGUCCUAGCACUGACAGAGAUUGACAGUUGUCCUUGUCUCCCAACAUUCAGAAUCUGUGAGCUGCCCAGAGGCAUCUGGACUUUCUAUGUGCUUUUAAUGCAUCCCUCAGCAUGGCCAGAAUGAAGACAUCAGAAAAUACCAAUUGUUGGAGAGGCUGGGGAGCAACCAAACUGUCUUCCUCAGCUGGCGUGAUAUCCGUUGCACGCUCCACCUGGGAAACUCUGUCAGUAGCUGCUGAAAGUGGACAAGCACAUCUGCGAUGACCGGCGACCCCUUGGGUGGAGAAUAUCCGGCAGAAAAGAGCGUGUGUGCUCCCCAAAGACACUCACAGGAAAGCAGCACUUUCAUCACCUCCCAAAGCCAUAACCACCCAAACCCUCACUGACAGUAGAACCUGUGAACAGAUUCUAGGACAUUUCAGCCCUGGCACGCUAUGUCCCCGCGGGAAGGACAGAUCCUUAAACACAUGCGACAACGUGGGCCAAUCUCGCAAAACAGAGUAAAUGAAGCUCACACAAAAGGAGUCCUGAUCUCCUUUAUUUCCAAGGAGGCUGCAGUUACCCUUGAUGGGGAGGCUCACCACAGGAAGCUGGCCGCAGAAGACUUAUCGGGGAUGGCUUCCAGUCAUGGGUUUUGUUGUGGUUUUCAUUUCAAUCUGGUUAAUGAUUAAAUUUCAUGAAAAUUCAUUGAGCUGUACAUUUAUGACAGGAAUGACUUUUUGCUAUGUAUACAAUAUUUCAAUUAAAAGUAAAAAAAAAAGAAGAAAUAAACAGCAUGUCUCAAACACAUUAUGAAAAUCUCAGCUGGGCGCGGUGGCUCACACCUGUAAUCCCAGUACUUUGGGAGGCCGAGGCGGGCGGAUCAUGAGGUGAAGAGAUCGAGACCCAUCCUGGCCAACGUGGUGAAACCCUGUGUCUACUAAAAAUACAAAAAUUAGCUAGAUGUGGUGGUGGGCGCCUGUAAUCCCAGCUACUCGGGAGGCUGAGGCAGGAGAAUCACUUGAACCCUGGAGACAGAGGUUAUAGUGAGCUGAGAUCAUGCUACUGCACUCCAGCCUGGCAACAGAGCGAGAUUCCGUCCCAAAACAAAAACAAAAACAAAAGAAGAAAGAAAGAAAAUCUCAGCAGAUAUGGAGUGGCAGGUAGGGUAGCUGAAGGAUCUGUCAUAAACCCAGAGUCACACGACUGUACCCAAGUGCAGAGAUGGCAUCAGGACUUUUAGAGUAACUGUCUUCACAGCACCAGAAAGCCCCAGAUUGCUGCAGGACUCUCCAGCACUCACACCUAUUUAACCACAGGGCAGAAUACUCCCAAAACAGCACUGACAAGCGCUUAUCUGGUUCAACGGAGGGUGGAAGAGGAGAGGGUUGGGAUCAACAGGUACCUGACUACCUCACACAUCCAGGUGCCAGCAAUGGUCCCAGGAGGCUGGGACCUUCUUUCUCCUUGGUCAGAUCACAAUGCUCCUAUAAAUCUUUAACAAACCACAGUUAGCUGUUUACAUACUUUCCAUUAAUCCCACAGUUAGUUGCAAAAACUACAUGAUUACCGCUUUUGCGUUUUAUCUUAGCGCUCUAAAAUUAUGCUAGCUUAUAUGCAGGGAUGAGAAAAAGCCCAUUAAAUAAAAAUGGAGUCAGUUUUGUUAGCACUUUUCCUGUUUCACUGUUGCAGGAUCAUGGCUCCUUUCUGAGAAAAACCACAGGAAAACUUGACCAUGUACACGUGGAACCUAAUAAGUGCUGACUCAAUGUCACCAUGGCCAUCAUUCCCUCUACCACGCUCCCUCCUCAGUGUCACCAUGGCCAUCAUUCCCUCUGCCACACUCCCUCCUCAAUGUCAGCCAUGGCCAUCAUUCCCUCUGCCACGCUCCCUCCUCAAUAUCACCAUGGCCAUCAUUCCCUCUGCCAGCUCCCUCCUCAAUGUCAGCCAUGGCCAUCAUUCCCUCUGCCACGCUCCCUCCUCAGUGUCACCAUGGCCAUCAUUCCCUCUGCCACGCUCCCUCCUCAGUGUCACCAUGGCCAUCGUUCCCUCUGCCACCUCCCUCCUCAAUGUCAGCCAUGGCCAUCGUUCCCUCUGCCACGCUCCCUCCUCAGUGUCAGCCACGGCCAUCGUUCCCUCUGCCACGCUCCCUCCUCAGUGUCACCAUGGCCAUCGUUCCCUCUGCCAGCUCCCUCCUCAAUGUCAGCCAUGGCCAUCGUUCCCUCUGCCACGCUCCCUCCUCAGUGUCACCAUGGCCAUCGUUCCCUCUGCCACGCUCCCUCCUCAGUGUCACCAUGGCCAUCGUUCCCUCUGCCACGCUCCCUCCUCAGUGUCACCAUGGCCAUCGUUCCCUCUGCCACGCUCCCUCCUCAGUGUCACCAUGGCCAUCGUUCCCUCUGCCACGCUCCCUCCUCAAUAUCACCACGGCCAUCAUUCCCUCUGCCACGCUCCCUCCUCAGUUUCACCAUGGCCAUCAUUCCCUCUGCCACGCUCCCUCUUCAGUGUCACCACGGCCAUCAUUCCCUCUGCCAGCUCCUUCCUCAAUGUCAGCCAUGGCCAUCGUUCCCUCUGCCACGCUCCCUCCUCAGUGUCACCACGGCCAUCAUUCCCUCUGCCACGCUCCCUCCUCAGUGUCACCACGGCCAUCAUUCCCUCUGCCACGCUCCCUCCUCAGUGUCACCAUGGCCAUCAUUCCACCUCCAGGUGAGUCAGCAUUGGCACCAUUGAGGACAGAUGAUAAUCAUUUUCCACAACAAUGACAAUCACAACCAAUCUCACCGGCCAGUGUGUUGUGGCCACCGCCAGAUCCCCAGGGAGGCCUCACAAUGGGGACUCUUCCAUGGGGACCGGCCAUCUGCCUGCUCCACGUCUUCUCAUUUGCUUUUCUUAAGCUUCUCACAUCUCUCCAAUAGCCAGAGAGAGUACCGCGCACCAAAGGGUUAGCUAUGAGGCCUGACCCAAGACAGGAGGAAAAGUGGUUCAAAAGUUCUAGCACACUAGGGUGUUCCUCUCCAUUGUGGGUGACUUCGCUUGUUCCUGACACACUUCACACCCAUGGCGUCUGUGUCUGGGAGGCUGUUCAGAUCCACGGCUGCUGCUGAGGGUGCUCCGCAUACUUCACAGGACUUCAUUUUCUUUCCCCAGAAACACUCUGAAGUCACACAGUGAGUGGCGCACCUCAUCACUGACGCUAAAUCCCGACUCCUCUUGCUCCUCUUGACAGUCUCGAGGUCUUGCCAUUCACGGCCUCAGAAAGCCGGCACAGCCGUCUCAGGCCAGGCCUGUUUUCUCCUGCAGUACGUUCUCGUGUUUUUAUUUUUCCUUUUUUUGAGACAGAGUCCUCGCUCUGUCACCCAGGCUGGAGUGCAGUGGCGUGAUCUCGGC